GAUAAUCACACACCAUCUUAAUGACAUAAUUAUCUACACUUAAUCAGAACAUCAUCAUGUGAUAACUGAUCAACACUGCGACAAGCACUGAAACACAGUACACUAACCCUAGCUAAGACACCGCCACUGACAACCUAUAUAAGAAUGCAAAACUCUUCUCAACUUCACCCCUCAAUUGCAUUUCUUAUGUUGGUUGUGAUUUCUCAAUAAGCGGUUCUUUGCCAAUUGCUAGGUUCUUUCUUUCUCUACUAUAACUCAAACCCAUCCAAGUUAAGGCCUUUUCUGCUGCUGCUGCUUCUUCUUCUUCUUCUCAAAUCAGAAGAUGCGGAAAGGCGAAGGCCUCCGAUGCUCAACUAAAAGAGAACUGGCUGUCUUCACUAUCUUACCCUCUUUUGAGUGAAGAUACACAGCAACACCAAAGUGAUGCCUCCAACUUCAAAUGGGUUCUUGGAAUCGACCCUGACGUCUCUGGCGCUGUGGCGCUCUUGAAAACUCAACAUUCUCAUUCUGAUUCUGCGCCUCAGUCUCAUUUUGAGAUUCUUUAUCAAUCUCAACUCAAGGGAGAUGCGAGUUGGUGGAAUACAUGUUCACUGCAAGGAAUUGUGAGACUUCCCCUGGGAUGAUCAUAUCCAAACUUUUCCUCAACUUCACUCAACUCUUAGAAUGAAAGCUUGGUUCAAAUAUGAAAUGGGAAUCACAUAACACUUUUGAUUACGUUCGACAUACACUGCAAGAUAACCCUUUGGGACUUGUACGGAUUUUGAAAUUGCUUGCUUAGCUGAGAAUGAUGCCUUUCCCCAUUUUUCUUGCGUAUGUAGGGAAUGGAAAGAGCAAGGGAAAGCUCUAGUGCUUAAGAAGAAAGUGUUCAAGUAUUGAUCUUCAGAUUGCCAAGGAGUUGUGUUGUGUUGUUUCUGAAGCAAGAGAAAUGAUUGUUGAAGGGGGUUAAAAGAUGGGGUCAUGCAUAUGAAAUCAUGUGAUGCUGUUUUAGAGUCUCAAACAAUGGCCAAUAAUAGAUCAUAGCCUCCUACGUGAUGCUAUCAACUUAUCAAGUAUCAAUCAAAACACUGAACUUUUCAUCCAGAAGCUUUAAUUCUUUUUAUUCGCAUUAUUACUCUACAGCAUUCAUACGCUAGAAUUUGGAUUUUAUCCAUGGGCGCUCAAACACCACAAAGUGCAAUGUGACAGAAAGAGACAGUACGCUGGGCGAGUCUCUCAUCACCUCCAUAUGGCCUAAGACUACAAAUUCUCUCAAAGCCUCACUUCAGUUCCACUCCUUUCUUCUCUUUCCCCUUUCCUUCAUCCAAUCCUUGCUAAUUCCUCCUUUAGACAAUCUCAAACUGAUCCCUUUUCCUCACACUUCAAAAGAGAGAUAGAAGAAAUGCCUAGACUCACCGCACUUUCGUCACCCUUGUCUAAAAGUUAACUCCAAGGCAAGCCUUAUAGUUAUCCUAAUUAUUCCUAGGUCUCGUGGUUUCAUAAAUAUUUUAUUUGAGUUUUGGAGAUUAUCAUGUUUUCAUUUUUUCCU